rnacentral:lncRNA from 1 species
GCAUUCUGGCGGUGCCGGGAGCGGGGCGAGGAGGAGGGUGGGUAUGAGGCGGUAGCGGACCGCGGAGUCGAGACCUACCCGAACGACGCGGGCGAGCGGGGCUUUGGACGCCGGUGGAGACGCAGGCGAGGGCUGCUGUAAAAUAUUACAGGCAUACUUUGGAGAUGUUAUGGGUUUGGUUCCACAUCACUGCAAUAAAAUGGAGCCUCGCUCUGUCGCCAAGACUGGAGUUCAGCGGCACGAUCUCGGCUCACUGCAAGCUCCACCUCCGAGGUUCACGCCAUUCUCCUGCCUCAGCCUCCCAAGUAGCUGGGACUACAGGCGCCUGCCACCAUGCCCGGCUAAUUUUUUUUUGUAUUUUUAGUAGAGGCGGGUUUCACCGUGUUAGCCAGGAUGUUCUCUAUCUCCUGACCUCGUGAUCUGCCCGCCUUGACCUCCCAAAGUGCUGGGACUACAGGCGUGAGCCACCGCGCCCGGCCUCGUGUGAUUUUUAACAAAACUUUAAAAUUUGGAAUAAUCAAUAACUUCAAAUCCAUAGGAAGCUAUAAAUAUAGUACAGAGAAGUCCUGUGUAUUCUUCUAGUUUGCUUAAUGGUUACAUCUUACAUAACUAUAAUAUAAUGUGAAACCAGGAAA